rnacentral:misc_RNA from 1 species
UCAAUAUGACAUGUCAGUAAUGUACAUGAAAUGUGUCGUUUGCACGUUAGUCAAUGGUUCAAUCCUCGACAGCUAUAAUGUGCUAUAAUGUCUGCACAUGCAAACUCUGGUCAGGAAUUUGUAAGUCUAUUGUAUCGAUAUCGAUUGAGUAACAUCUGGUCUAGUAUUUACGUAUAUACAGAUAUGAUCGAAUAAACCUGGAGAUACAUCAUACAAUCACAAGGAUAGUGCCCAGGUUUGAUCUGCUCGAUGAAGUCAGCAGAUCAAUAAGAAACGGUGGACGGUUUGGUACGCCACUGUGUGAAAGACGCCUUGUCUUGGCCAAGAGCUGAACAGUGUAUCGAGGCAGGGUGGCCACCAGCUGAAAUGAUUGAAUUAUAGGCCAGGAAUACGUGAUACCACAUAUAUUUAUAUAAAGUGUUCUUUGGGAGAAGGAUUUGGAUAUACAUACCGCCGUAUCUGUAUGUCCAUUGGUGGGAGUUGACGAUAUCACAGAUAUAUCCACGACAAAUCCCGCUGGCACCAUCUCCGUAUAGCGUGGUCAGCAGAGAAUCUGCCCUGGGUACCCCUUGUGGGAUUGGCAAUCAAUGGAAAUGAAUAACCUGGAGGGACAGAAGGGCAAAAAAUUAUAUACGGAAGAACAAUUUUCUAGCGAGGAAGCUGAGAUCAUUGUAGCUGAGGAGACUGAGGUUCUCAGUAAGACACAUGUUCUGCUGUUAAAUCUGUCAUGGUUCGGUCUCAGCCUCAUGUUCCUUCUGCUCUCAGUGGAGGUUGUACCUGCACAGAUCCGUUCGCUGGUAGGGGAGGCAGCCAAGGGGAGAUGGCUUGGCGGCAUGGUGGCGUGCGGGGCAGCGGUGACGUUCGUGACAAGUCCUCUGAUUGGUAUGCUGAGUGACCGAUCGACUUUACAGGCCGGCAAACGCCGUCCAGUGAUGAUAGCAGGAACAGUCGUUCUAUGCCUAGGACUGAUUGGAAUGGCAUUAAGUUCAUCAAAAAUACCGGUUUUGAGAGGGGGAAUUAACCUAUCUAAAAACUCAACGAAUAUGUGUGAUCGUGACCUUGUGGCUCACCGCUGCUUCCCGUUCUGGAACAACACCAAUACCAGACUGUUCAAACAUCAUCACACUGUCCUCAGGGGAUCCCAACCAGCCUCCAUCUUACUUCCAGAGAAAAAAUCCUACAUAUCUGAACUAGAAUCAGAACCCGUGGGAAGUUUACCUAUGUACAUAGUGUUUUACCUCGUCGUCACCACUGCCUUUGCCAUCAUCACCGUGCCGUACAUUGCCCUCAUCGCCGACAAGUCUCAUCCUUCACAGCGAGGGUUUAACUCCGGUGUGAUGGGCGCAAUGAUACUGUUGGGAAACCUGAGUGGUGCGGCUGUUGGAACGUGUUUUACGCAAAUCGGUGUCCUUGGUGCCUAUGGGACGGCCAUAGCAGUGGUGAUGGUGAGCGUUUGUUUGACAAUUUUCACUACACGAGAGAGGCAAGGCAAGGGAGUGUCGGAACCGCUCGAUUGUACUACAAUAUUUACCGCCUUCUGGCAGCCAUUAAAAGAACAUGACUUUCGCUGGGUGUUUAUCACGAGGUUUCUGAUGCAGCAGGGCGUGUCUACAGUUACCGGCUUCCUCGAGUACUGGUUGUCCGACAUGAUCCAUAUCCCCUAUUGCUGGUCAGAGUCACGCGCAGUCGCAAUGAUGCUGCUACCUCUACUGUGUGCCGCGUCCUUAAGUUCUAUAGUAUUCGGCGUGAUAUCUGAUCGGUUUGGAAGACGGAAACCUAUGAUAAUAAGCGCAGCGCUGAUCAUGUCUGUUAGUACCUCCACACUGACGUAUAUCAGUGGUUAUAAUGCUUAUUUCAUCGCUCUAGUCAUGGCCUUCCUUUUCGGAAUCGGUUUCGGUUCAUUCCAGUCUGUAGAUUUUGCACUGGUCAUGGAUGUACUUCAGGAUGACAAAGAUAAAGCUAACAACAUCGCAGUGUGGCACCAAGCCCUCGUCCUCCCCAACGCUUUAGCUACUCCUGUGGGCGGCAUUAUCUUAGAUUACUUUGAGAGUGUAGAUUGCGAACUCGGUCUCGGUUAUAUUAUAUUGUUUGCAGUAACUGCCGUGUAUUUUCUGUUAAGUGCCAUAUUUGUAAAUAAGAUAAGACGUGCGUCAUGAGCAGACAAAGCAUUGGUAUGUCCCUUAAAUAGAAUACGUCACAAAGUUAAUAUCGACAGAGAAAUAAUUUCACAUUUAACACAUAUAAUUAUUGACAUCAGGAUAGCCUUGAUCACAGUAGGUAUAGACAUAUUGAUUCUCCGGCAUUCUAGGCAAUGACAGAUGAGCCUAUAUAGAUAAUUAAAUACACUCUUUUUGCAACUAAUAAAUAUAUGUAUAAUCUAACCUCCGCAGACUAAUUGCUGGUACCACAACCAGUUGAUUACUUUACAUGAUAUUAUAUACAAAGAUAUUUUCCAAGAUUAUAAAUACCGCGGCAAUUUUCAAUUACAAAAUGUAUUAUUUUUUUAAUAAAUUGGCAAUGUGAAUCCGUCAAGUCAGUAGGACAGUAUAUAUUCCAGAUCAAGCAACACAUAGACCUAGCUAUUUCGAAGACAUUUCGCACUAAACUAAUGUGUAGGUUCCUCACAAAUAGAAGAAAAUUUGUAGAACAUCAUAGCUCGACUUCCGAAUGAAAUUCCUAGCAUAGUUCAGUCGAAAACAGAUAAAAUGUUUGACUCCUCAGGAGCCUUCAAACCAAAUAUCACUAUUCCUGGUAAUAAUAUCGAUUGUCAUAUUAAUAAUAAUUUCAUGACAAAAUCCGAACUUUUAAGCAUCAUAUUUCGGCAUAAAAACUAAAGCGCAAAACAGUUAAAAAUAAAAGAAUAAAAUGAACUUAAAAAUUCCGUUUAUUCCUGUUUUGACUGCGGUGCCACAAUGGUUGACCCAGCGGGAACAGGAUGUCUAGCAUCAGUAUUCUUAUUCAAAUACUGAAUACUAUUUAUAGUGAAUUUAAUUACUCAUACACGAAUGUUUACCAUAACACCUUGACAAAAACUGGGUGGUGUUUUUUUUGCCGGCACUGCAUCCAUGUAUGACCCUAACAGAACAUCUCUGAUAAAUACGAGCAUCGUUGUUGGAAUACUGAAAGGAUAUUAGUAGAGAUAUGGGACAGUAAUGGUAGAAAGGUAAGGUAGAUCUGGGGCGAGCUAGGGGACAGUAAUGGUAGAAAGGUAAUGUAGAUCUGGGGCGAGCUAUGUGACAGUAAUGGUAGAAAGGUAGGAUAGAUCUGGGGAGAGAUAUGGACAGUAAUGGUAGAAAGGUAAUGUAGAUCUGGGGAGAGAUAUGGGACAGUAACGGUAGAAAGGUAAUGUAAAUCUGGGGAGAGAUAUGGACAGUAAUGGUAGAAAGUGAAGGUAAGGUAGAUAUGGGGAGAGAUAUGGACAGUAAUGGUAGAAAGGUAAUGAAGAUCUGGGGAGAGAUAUGGGACAGUAAUGGUAGAAAGGUAAUGUAGAUCUGGGGCGAGCUAUGGGACAGUAAUGGUAGAAAGUGAAGGUAGAUCUGGGGAAAGAUAUGAACAGUAAUGGUAGAAAGGAAAUGUAGAUCUUGGGAGAGAUAUGGGACAGUAAUGGUAGAAAGUGAAGGUAAUGUAGAUCUGGGGCGAGAUAUGGGACAGUAAUGGUAGAAGUGAGGGUAAUGUAGAUCUGGGGAGAGAUAUGAACAGUAAUGGUAGAAAGUGAAGAUAAUGUAGAACUGGGGAGAGAUAUGAGCAGUAAUGGUAGAAGUGAAGGUAAUGUAGAUCUGGGGAGAGAUAUGAACAGUAAUGGUAGAAAGGUAAUGUAGAUCUGGGGAGAGAUAUGGGACAGUAAUGGUAGAAAGGUAAUGUAGAUCUGGGGAGUGAUAUGGGAUAUGGUAAAUCGAGAUAAAAUAAUUUGAUUGGAAGAAAUGGCGUAUAACACAAGUGAUUUUGGUAAUAUAUUGUUAGUCUUUCUGUAAAACAUAGUCAGUGUCUAAUCGUACUUAAUUCCUGUUAUUUAUCAAGGACAAAACAUCCAUAGUCUAUUGAUGUCUUCAGAGUUUAAGUCUAAACUGUUGACUUAUUCUACCACUUGAAAUUCAAAGUUUGAUAUUUUGGCCAAAAUUUAAUACUUUCGAAUUGUUUCUUAUAAUGCACAGCGGUAAUUCGCAAAAUUAUAAACUCUUUAGCGUCUGCUCAAAGUUAUAACUAGGCAGCUGAUUAAAUCAGUAUGGUUUAACUUACAUAUACACUGUUCUUAAUCUGUCUGUGAUAACGAUGAAGUUUGUUUGUUAACAGAAAUGAAAUAUUAUGAUGUUUGUUUAAUGCAAUGUUGAUCAUUGUUUUUUGUUGUUGAAACGAUUGCGAUUGUAGUUGUAUUAAAUUGAUAAGG